UAAGUUGGUGGAACACUGGCU
rnacentral:siRNA from 1 species